GAGACACCCUUAUGGUGCAGGACUUGCUUCAGUGGGGCUUUGUUGCUCGCCGAGUCUGCCCCCUGAGUGUGUCUCU
rnacentral:pre_miRNA from 1 species